rnacentral:rRNA from 1 species
UGGAAGCUUUCGGGUAAAGAUGAGCCCGCGUCCCAUUAGCUAGUUGGUAAGGUAAAGGCUUACCAAGGCGACGAUGGGUAGCUGGUCUGAGAGGAUGGCCAGCCACACUGGAACUGGAACACGGUCCAGACUCCUACGGGAGGCAGCAGUGAGGAAUCUUGCGCAAUGGGGCAACCCUGACGCAGCAACGCCGCGUGAGUGAAGAAGGCCUUCGGGUCGUAAAGCUCUGUCAAGUGGGAAGAAUAGUCUUAAGCUGAAUAAUCUUAAGAUGUGACGGUACCACUGGAGGAAGCACCGGCUAACUCCGUGCCAGCAGCCGCGGUAA